UACGAAGGGGGCUAGCGUUGUUCGGAAUUACUGGGCGUAAAGCGCGCGCAGGCGGCUAUCCAAGUCAGUGGUGAAAGCCCGGAGCUCAACUCCGGAACUGCCAUUGAAACUGUUUAGCUUGAGGAUGAGAGAGGUGAGUGGAAUUCCCAGUGUAGAGGUGAAAUUCGUAGAUAUUGGGAAGAACACCAGUGGCGAAGGCGGCUCACUGGCUCGUAACUGACGCUCAGGCGCGACAGCGUGGGGAUCAAACAGG
rnacentral:rRNA from 1 species